GAACUCCUGACCUCAGGGACCCGCUGCAGCUGGGAGGGGAGCUGUCCAGGAGGCCGGCCUGGGAAUGAGCACAGGCCGUCCUGUCUGACGCUGAGAGCGGCAGCCUGCGUCCAACAGCGUCCGACCGCAGCCUGCGGGGGCUCUCGGGCCAGCGGACCCCGUCUCCACCGCGGCGCUCCUCGCCGGGCCGAGGCCGUUCGCCCCGCAGAGGCCCCUCCCCGGCCUGCUCAGAAGACUCCACGCUCGCUUGCCCUGAUUCUCUCCGCCCUGCACUUUUGCCAGCUGAAGGUCCAGGGAGAAGAGCAACCUGGUCCACAGCCUGCAGGUGGCCCAGCAGCAGGCCGAGGAGCUGCCGCAGGAGCGGGAGAAGCUGCAGGUUGCCCAGGAGGAGCUGCAGCGCCAGCGGGACCGGCUGGAGGAAGAGCAGGAAGAGGCGGUGCAGAAUGGCGCACGGGUUCGCCGGGAGCUUGAGCGCAGCCAUAGACAACUAGAGCAGCUGGAAGGGAAGCGCUCAGUCCUGGCCAAGGAGCUGGUGGAGGUGAGGGAGGCGCUGAGCCGCGCCACGCUGCAACGGGACAUGCUGCAGGCCGAGAAGACCGAGGUGGCCGAGGCGCUGACCAAGGGUGAGGCUGGCCGCAUGGAGCUCGAGCUCUCCGUGACCAAGCUGAGGGCAGAGGAGGCCUCCCUGCAGGACUCCCUGUCCAAGCUGAGCGCCCUCAACGAGAGCCUUGCUCAGGACAAGUUGGAUCUGAACUGCCUUGUCACCCAGCUGGAGGAAGAAAAGGCCAUGCUGCAGGGCCGGCAGCGGCAGGCGGAGCAGGAGGCCACAGUGGCGCCGGCAGAGCAGGAGUGGCUGGAGGAGCUGUGGUUGGAGCAGGAGGUGGCACGGCAGGGCCUGGAGGGCUCCCUAUGAGUGGCGGAGCAGGCCCAGGAGGCGCUGGAGCAACAGCUCCCCACACUGCACCAUGAGCUCAGUUGGCUGCAGGAGCAGCUAGCACAGGAGGCAGCAUGGCGGGAGCUGGAGGCCGAGCGGGCCCAGCUGCAGAGUCAGCUGCAGCGUGAGCAGGAGGAGCUGCUGGCCCGGCGGAAGGCUGAGAAGGAACAGCUGAGUGAGGAGAUUGCUGCCCUGCAGCAGGAGCAUGACGAGGGCCUCCUCCUGGCCGAGAGCGAGAAGCAGCAGGUUCGUGAGCCCUGGCGUGGCCUCUGCUGCUCUCUGAGCUGCUCCAGUUCUGGGGCCGGGCCCUGCUCUGCCACUUGGCAGCUAGGAGCCCUGGGGCAGGCCACUGCCCUCUUGGGGGCCUCAGUUUCCUUACCUGCAGGAGGGGAGGAUUAGAAGGGGGUUCGUGAGGCUUUGCUGUGCUCCAUGCCUGGCACACAGUGAGCACUUACUGAGUGACAGUGACAGUCGUGACACCAGGAAAGCUGUUCCAUAUUCUCCCAUGCCUCGUCCCACCCCACGCUGGGCAUGGAUCCUCAUGGCUGCCUUCUGAGCAGUCCCCACGAUGCCCACAGGCAUCAGCUGACGUGUCCCCCCAAAUAACAAAUCCCUAACUUUCCUAUAAUGUAACGGAGACAGGGCAGACUGUGCCCAUCUCCUCUCCUCACCAGCUGUGUACCUGGGCGAGUCACUUUACCUCCUUGAGCCUCAGUUUCCUCAUCUGUAAGAUGGGUAGAAAGAAAGACUCUGCAGUCAGGGUGCUGUGGCGGGUUAGUGAGCUCUAUGAGUGGUAUCCACGUCCGGGAUUCUUGUGACUGCCGUUGUGCCCUUUUCCAGGGCUGCAUGUCUGCCCUGGGUCCACCUGCAGUGGCACACUCAGGCCUCUAAGCCCCCAGUGGGCACAUUUCCUAGGCAGCAAGAAGCCUGAGCAUGCCCCCAGGACCAGCCCAUCCCCCAAGCCCUUUGUCCCCUGCCUCUGCCCAGGCCUUGUCUCUGAAGGAGUCUGAGAAGAUGGCGCUGUCAGAGAAGUUGAUGGGUACACGGCACAGCCUGGCCACCAUCUCCCUGGAGAUGGAGCGGCAGAAACCAGAUGCCCAGAGCCGGCAGGAGCAGGACCGGGUAGGCCUGCCGUCGUAGGGAGGCUUGCGGAGCAGGAGCGCCCUCUCUCCACCGAGCUAUCCCGCGGUUUCCAGCAUCCCAUCUGGCGGACUCCUCUUCCUCUCUCUUCUCCUACUCUGGGUCUUCUAUCCUGGUGUUCCUUGAAUGCCUAUCUUCCUUUUGUGCCUCGGAACCUCUCACGCCUGCCACAAGUUACUCUUUUCCUUGGUAGUUCUGAACUUUAAAUAAGGUAAUGCCUGUAAGAAUGCCAUAAAUGCUCAAUAAUUGUCAUCUGUUAUUAUUUUCAUCAGUAACAUCAUCUGAAUCAUCAGUAUUGUCUGCUUUUAACAGCUGCAUUUUUCAUUGUCCAAAUAUAGUCACAUACAUUUGACCAUUUUAUAAUUAUUGAAUAAUAAAUUUGUUCUGCUAUUUUACAAUGAAAAAUAAUGCUGCAGAGAGCAUUUUUGCACAUGUAUCGUGGCAGAUGUAGGCCAGAGGCUCUUCUUUUAUCCAUCCUAUGGCCAACCUAUGAAUGUAUACACGUUUAAUGAGAUUUUGCCAGCAAUCAAAGCCUUCAGGGAAAAUGUCCCUAGCUCUUUACUACAUCAGAUCAAGGACUCUGGAUAAUUGGCAUAACAUCCUGGAAUAGCUGAAACAGAGAUAUUAUUCUCUGCUCUCCUCUGUUGUCUUUGUCUUUUCACGUCUUAAUAAAAGUGCUGGUGACAAGA
rnacentral:lncRNA from 1 species